rnacentral:lncRNA from 1 species
AUUGGGAAGUGGGUGAUUUCCAUCUCUGAUCUUCCCUAUUAAACACUACCUUUAAUUUCCACUUGGGGCUUUACAAUGGUGUCACCUCUUCCAUCCCACAACAAGAAACUUUCUUCUAUACCAUCUUGCUUUCCUCUGACCACCUCUUAAUCCUGAAAAUUUUAAUAUAUAACACCUUUCCAAGAUAAUUUUAAAAGAGGGCUCUUUUGGAGGAAGAUGGAAGAUUAUGUAAGAGACAAAGAAAAUGAAGAUAUGGGUUUCCAUUCCUUCCAAAAUUGGUGUUCUCCAUCUCUUGAUAAGCCCUGGGAUGCUACUGUUGGUUCAAACAAGUGGAAUCCUAUAAGGCAGUGUAACUGGAAUCAGCAUCUUGUGAACUGCUUCCCCUUAUGGAGUGCUGAUAGCCUGAGCCAGCAAGUCAGUAGUAGUCUCUCAGUAACCGAGUAUGACGAUACACUUGUGCGUGAAGGAGAUUUUCGUGCGUGAAGGAGAUUUAAGUGGAAAAGUUGAUGCACAGAGACAGUCCCACUCUCUCGGCGUUGGAAGCCUGGGUCCAGUGGCAUGAAAAGUCGUUACACCUGGAGACUUCCUCAGCUACAUUGGAUGGCCGUGUUGUCUUUUGUGCUCCAACACACCCUGAGCAUUCCACAGUGCUUUGCUGUGUAGCCCUCUCAGCCGUUGAACCUUCUUAUUGGUUUCUUCCGCCUGUUCCACCGAAGCAGUCUUCACAUGCUGGGUGAGCAAAGCCCUAGUUCACCAGGGGUCGACGACCCGAUGGCUACCCUCACAAGGUUUAGCCGGCCUGUCGAAGCCAUUGCCCGUGGCGUGGCCGCUGCCACAUGCUAGCAUCUACUAGGAGCCACAAGUGAGAG